UAACAUCGCGGUGUAAACAUAGCGGGGC
rnacentral:sRNA from 1 species